UUCUGGAGUCAGCGGUUCACUUUUUGGAUGAUUCUUUCAAUCAGGACUGAGAGCUUUUUUUUCCUCACAUGUGACAGGAAGUUCACCGCUAGUUCCUAAAUUUGCGAUUUUUUUUUUUGUGGUACCGCUCACUAAUUUAGUACUUUACUUGUUGCCAAAUACAAAAUUUUCAGUGAUUUUUUUUUAGGGGGAUAGGCAUUAUUUGGUUGUUUUUUUUUUACAGUUUGUCAAUGGAUAAUUUAACAUUUCAUC